CGCGAGGCCGCGGGAGUGGGGCCGGGCUGCACCCGCUCCGCCUCCGGAGAGCUAAGGAGCAAAGCCCCGACGGCCCAGGGCUCCGAGGGCUCCCAGCAUGGCGCCCCGGGAGACGCAGUGAGGCUGAGCAGCGGGGGCGGCGCCGCGGGCGGCACCAUGGCCCUGGAGCGAGCGCUGCAGGCGGCGCGGCAGGGUGAGCUGGAAGCGCUGAGGUCCCUGCACGCCACUGGCCUGCUGGAGCCCACGCUACGCGACCCGCUGGACGCGCUGCCCGUGCACCACGCGGCCCGCGCCGGUAAGCUGCAGUGUCUACGUUUCCUAGUGGAGGACGUGGAGAUGCCCGCCUCGUCCCGCGCGCGCAACGGGGCCACACCGGCCCACGACGCCGCUGCCACCGGCCACCUCGCCUGCCUGCAGUGGCUGUUGUCGCAGGGCGGCUGCAAAGUGCAGGAUAAAGACAAUUCCGGUGCCACAGUCCUGCACCUGGCUGCCCGCUUCGGUCACCCCGAGGUGGUGAACUGGCUUUUGCAUCACACUGAUGCAGACCCCUCCGUGGCCACGGACACAGGUGCCCUGCCGGUCCACUAUGCUGCCGCCAAAGGAGACUUCCCCUCCCUGAGGCUGCUUGUUGGAGACUACCCAAAGGGAGUGGAUGCCCAAACCCAGAACGGUGCCACGCCCCUGUACCUGGCGUGCCAAGAGGGCCACCUGGAGGUGAUACAGUACCUGGUGCAGGAGUGCGGCGCAGACCCGCACGUGCGUGCCCACGACGGCAUGACCCCGCUGCACGCAGCGGCACAGAUGGGUCACAGCUCGGUCAUCGCGUGGCUGGUGAGCUGCACGGACGUGAGCCUGUCGGAGCAGGACAAAGACGGCGCCACAGCCAUGCACUUCGCGGCCAGCCGCGGUCACGCCAAAGUGCUUAGCUGGCUUCUGCUGCACGGCGGCGAGAUCUCAGCUGACCUGUGGGGCGGGACCCCGCUGCACGACGCCGCGGAGAACGGCGAGCUGGAGUGCUGCCAGAUCCUGGUAGUUAAUGGUGCGGAGCUGGACGUCCGUGACCGUGACGGGUACACAGCCGCCGACCUGUCGGAAUUCAACGGCCAUAGCCACUGCACCCGCUACCUACGCACCGUGGAGAACCUGAGCGUGGAGCAUCGAGUGCUAUCUAGGGAUCCUUCCACCGAGCUGGAGGCCAAGCAGCCCGAUUCGGGCAUGUCCUCGCCCAAUACCACCAUGUCUGUCCAGCGGCCGAACUUUGACCUCAGUUCACCCACCAGCACCCUCUCCAACUACGACUCCUGCUCUUCCAGCCAUUCCAGCCUCAAGGGCCAGCAUGAGCUUCCGGGUGCAAGGGCUACAGACAUACAGAGCUACAUGGACAUGCUGAACCCAGAGCUGGGCCUGCCUCCAAGCAAGACGGAGAAACCUACACACCCGCCGCCGCCACCCCCCAACUUUCCCCCACCACCCCCACCCCUAGGCAGUCCGCUGCCCCCGCCCCCACCGGGCUACCCUGCUCCCCAGCCCCCCUCAGGGCUGCAGGCAGCUGACAUCUACAUGCAGACCAAGAGCAAGCUGCGUCAUGUGGAGAGCAAGACCCUCAGGAAGGAGCCCGCAGUCCUUCUGCAGCCCGCCUCGCACGACGGCCACCACGGGCCGCGCAGGCAGGACUCCUGCCGGAAGCCGCGCACCUCCAGCAAGCAGCCCAGCACGGGGGAGUACUACCGCCAGCUGGGCCGCCGCCCCGCAGAGCCCCCGGCCGCGCGCCCGGGCAUGGCGCACAGCGAGGAGGUGCGCGCCCGCCCGCCAGCGCCCGCCGCCUCCGCCGCCGCCACCUCCUGCCCGGUUCCGGGCCCCGCCGCACGCGCCUCGCUCGCCGGCCUCUCCGCGCCCCCUCAGGCGGCCCUGCUCCCCGGGAACCACGUGCACAACGGCUGCGCCGCGGACCCCAAGGCGCCCGGGGAGCUCCCGCCGCCGCCCCCGCCGCCGCCUCUGCCCGAGGCCUUGAGCUCGCCACCGCCCGCCCCGCCUCUGCCCCUCGAGGGCACGGGCCCGGGCUGCGGGCAGCGCCGCUCGUCCUCGUCCACCGGCAGCACCAAAUCUUUCAACAUGAUGUCCCCGACGGGUGACAACUCUGAGCUACUGGCUGAAAUCAAGGCGGGCAAGAGCCUGAAGCCAACACCACAGAGCAAGGGGCUGACCACAGUGUUCUCGGGCAGUGGGCAGCCAGCCUCCCAGGUAGGAGGCAGGCAGGCACCCCGCCCUGGCUCCCUGAGCCUGCCCAGUGCUCAGCGCCGCCGCUUCUCCCCGCAGCCCGACUCACCGCUGCCACCAGCAUCGCCUGUGCCAUCUCGGGCCCGGAGCCCCACCCCACCGGCCACGGGCCCCCAGCCCCUGCUCAAUGGCACCGUGGUGCCAGCACCACCUGCCACCCCCGCACCGGGCGUGCAGCUGGACGUGGAGGCGCUCAUCCCCACGCACGACGAGCAGGGCCGGCCCAUCCCCGAGUGGAAGCGACAGGUGAUGGUGCGCAAGCUGCAGCUGAAGAUGCAGGAGGAGGAGGAGCAGAGGCGGAAGGAGGAGGAGGAGGAAGCCCGGCUGGCCAGCCUGCCUGCCUGGAGGCGAGACAUCCUCCGGAAGAAGCUGGAAGAGGAGAGGUGAGCUGGGACCCAGGAGGGCACAGUCUGUCAGCCCCCCUGUGUGUACUGCUCUGUGCCUAAAGUUGGUGGCACCAACUAAUGCUGUCUCUUUCUCCUUCCAGGGAGCAGAAGAGAAAAGAGGCGGAGCGACAAAAGCAGGAGAAGAUGAAGCGGGAGAAAGAGCAGUCGGAGAAGCUCCGGACCCUGGGCUACGACGAGACCAAGCUGGCGCCCUGGCAGCGACAGGUCAUCCUGAAGAAGGGGGACAUCCCCAAGUAAGAGUCGUCUCGCCUCCGGACAGCAGCGUCGCCAGCCGGGAGAGGUGUGGUGGGGGAUGUCCCUAGCCCCCGCCGCCUCCGGCUGGGCUGCUGUGGAAGAGCUGGGAGCCGCGCCACCCGCCCCCUCCACACCCGGACCCGCCCCGAGCCCCGCCCCGGCCCCCCAAAUCCCCAGCCCGGGCCCAUGCUGGAGCGCAGCGCAGCGCCGCCUCCGAGCUCCGCCGGCCCGGCCCGGCCCGCGGAAAAAGUGCCCAAGCGGUUGACGCAAAAAGAUGCCACUCGUUUGCAUUCCGGGUCACGUCCACUCGCCUGGUCGCUGGGUGGCAGGGGGCCACAGCAGGCCUCGCCUCGCCCCGCCGCGGGUGGUGACAGUUUUCCCGCGGGGCGCGAGCGGCUGCAGUCCCCUCCCCCGCACCCCGGAACCUGCGUCGCCGCCGGCACAUCCUGGGUGGAGGCGGCCCGUAUCUCCGGGAAGGGGUUUUCCUCCCUCCCCGACCCAGAUCCGUGCCCCAUUUCUCAUCCUCGCCCGAGGGCUUCCUCGCAGUCAUUUGUUUACCGGAAACGAUGCAACCUGCCCGUCUGGGCGGAGUCGCUGAUUCCAGGGUCCCCCACAGACUUCCCCGCAGCAUAUGCCCCGUCCCUGGCGCCCCUGAUCCUCUCACUGCCUUGGACGAGUGGAGGGCAAGGGCCCCGCUCCAGUCCCCCACCCCCAUUAAAGCGUUCUCCACCGCC